rnacentral:rRNA from 1 species
UACGGAGGAUCCAAGCGUUAUCCGGAAUCAUUGGGUUUAAAGGGUCCGUAGGCGGCCUUAUAAGUCAGUGGUGAAAGUUUUUGGCUUAACCAAAAAAUUGCCAUUGAUACUGUAGGGCUUGAAUGUCUGUGAAGUAACUAGAAUAUGUAGUGUAGCGGUGAAAUGCUUAGAUAUUACAUGGAAUACCGAUUGCGAAGGCAGGUUACUAACAGAUGAUUGACGCUGAUGGACGAAAGCGUGGGUAGCGAACAGGAUUAGAUACCCUGGUAGUCCACGCCGUAAACGAUGGAUACUAGCUGUUCGGUUUUCGGACUGAGUGGCUAAGCGAAAGUGAUAAGUAUCCCACCUGGGGAGUACGGUCGCAAGACUGAA